rnacentral:lncRNA from 1 species
AAAAAUAACCUUUAUUGUUUUGGUUGUAAAUAUAAAAAAAUGCAUUGCACAAUUUGACAGACCUACUGAAAAGUGCUACAUAUCAACAGCACAACAGAAGUUGUGUCAUGCAACAGAACAGGAAACCUAGGCAAAGCAAGAGUACAACCUGAAGUCCUCAUAACCUCCAAGCUCUUUUUUUUUCCCUUUUUUGUUUUUUUAAACAAGAAUGAACUCCAUUCACUUAAAACACAUUUAAAUACACGGUUAGAAGAAGAAAAAGAGCAAUUUAUUCAUUGUAUUGUUAAUUUAAAGGCUUGCUCCUAACAUUGAUCUCUCUUGAUUCAAAACCUUACUCAUGAUGGAAAAGUUCAGAUAUAGAAGCAGUUCAGAUAUAAAAGCAGUUCAGUCAUUCUAUUAUCUAAGUUGUGUUUCUUUGUAACUGAAUCAAGUUUUACGGUCCAAGCUACAAUUCAGUACUACCACUUCUGUUCUAACACAGAAAUCCGACCAAGAAUGAAACAAAAGAAAACCUGAAGCCUUAACUGAUGUUGUGGGAACAAUACUGGAGCCCUAUAAAACUAAAAACCCCCAAACAUGUGAUCUUCUCUGAAACUCAAGUGUAUAAAUUGAGGAGUAACAGGAAAACUCCUGUUGCCUCACCUAAUAUAAAAACCUCCUAAAAGUCAUCAGCAGUUGCCCAUAGUCCUCUAAGACUGGUAUGACUGAAUCCCUAAACCAUGUAUCACCAUUGGGGGUGAUUUUCCAUGCAAUAAAUGUGGAAAGGAACCCAAAAAGAGAGAGAGAAAAAGGUCAAAAUAGUUAACAACCCAUUCUAUUUUCUAUCGUCUAGUUGGCAACAUCAAGGCAAGAAUUAUUCACUUCAGAAAUACAUAAAGUGAAAUAGCUUUCAAAUAUUUUGUGCUGCAAAAGCAUGAUCUUACAGAAGGUUUCUGCAGUGAGCUUCCCUCUCCUGCUCUCAAACUGCUCUUCAGGAGUUUCGCACUUUAAAAGCAAACAAAACCUCUACAACAUGUGCACACACACACUCUCAAGGGAAUGUAAAAAACCCUGAAGAUACAAAGUAAAGGGAUGCCAUUUUUCAAGGCAAUUUUUCUUGUGAAGCCAUUCCAGAUUUAGAAAUUUAAGCAUUUGCAUAUAUACUGGGUUUCUGUCAAACUUCUGCUAUGACAAUAUGCACACGUGUGCAGAUGUGCUUGUGUAUGCGGGAGGACGGUGAAGUCAGCAGGAAAGAUGCCGUUUCUUCCACACAUACACACAACUUUCCACAACCUCAGUGGCAGAGGGUCACAGUAAUGCCAUGCAGAUAAACCCUCUUAAAUCCCAGGGAAAGCCCCACUUUGUCAGUUCACUGGAUUUUCCACAUAACAUUGUAAUAGGGGGACAAAUGUAUGACUUAAGAUAAAUCGAAUACAUACAUGAUGCCAAGAUCUAAGGCACAGAUGGAAACAUUCUAGCAAGCCUCCCUUCAAGGAAGGCUUCCCAAAGGGUCUAGAAAAGUAUGGAAGGACAUGUCAAAUGGUAUUAAUCAAGAAUCCUUUGGUUUUGUGCAGAGAUCAGACUGUCAAGGUGAAGCAUGUGCUUAGUUCUUUGUUCCUACUACUCAUUAAUUCCUUCAAUUCUAGUUUGCUCCUAGACUUUCAGCACUUACUCCUCCUGUUAACAGGGAGCCAUCAUACAAACCUAACUACAUCAGAUAAUGCAAAAGUUCUCCAGAACUUGCGUUUGUGGUGUGGGCCACCUACUGACUGACAGAAUUCAAGGUCAGAAGGAACCACUAGACAACCUCAUCUUGACUUUAUGUGUAUCACAGGCCAUCAUUACUUUAUCUAGCGACUCCUUUAUUGAGUGAAAUGUGUUGGAUUUGACUGAAUAUGAUUUGUAUUCAAUUGCAUGUGAAUUCUUUAGUGUAGCACCAAUUCACUGAAGACAGAUGUGCAUCAUCUGUAAUUCUGUAUAGACUAUAGGCACUGUGUGUUUUGCUUGCUUAAGUGUACUUUGGUGACACUGAGGAAAUCAGACUGCUUAAAUCAGGGGACAAAGCGUUACCAAACUUCUUUUUUAAAGAAAUAUAGUAUUUAGACUCCUCAAUGGGUAAGACAGACAAAGGAGUUCAAAUAUAAACCAAAGUGGAAACUGUGCAGAAAUUAAUACAUACGUGGUCAAUCGCUUUUCAUACCAAUCCUCAGUAGUUUUACUGUGCAGAUGUGAGACAUAAACCAGAUUUUUUUCCUCCUCCUGCGUCUCCAAAUGAAGUGAAAUCACACCCCUCACAAGGCUGACUGAUAAAAGAAGAGAAUUCUGAUUUGCAAUAAUAGGGUGAUAAAAAAAUAUUCAAUUGCUGCUUCAAAGAGCAGACACAUCAUUUCUGGUAACUGCACUACGUGGAAAGUAUCUUUUCACUUUUCCUUCCCUCCCUCCUACACUCUUGUCUAAGUAAGCAAUCUUUGAUUUAAUGUUUUUCUCUUUAUUAAGAUUUGCAAUGAUAAUCAAUAGUGCCAUGAGCUUGUUUCUCCACCCGUUAUUAAAAUAAGCAUUCUACCUCCAAUUGUAACCAGCUCAUAGUGCAACGAGCAUGAUGGUUUUUCCAUCUAUAUCCAGCUAAAAACUGAAUGAACAAAAUUUUUAGCAGUUCAGUCACACUAGCCCUACCCUUUCAACUUCCAAUCCAUUCAGUGAGAUUGGAGAUGUUGGGAUUUAAGCUUAGUAGUCAUCAGACGUCCCUGGGCUUUGAAGUGUGCUUGUAAUGCACUUUGCUUGUUGAGACAAAACUCUUGAUGUCAUUGGUAUCAGGAAUGGUAAAAAUCAAGCACAAUCACUGCCUGACAAGCAGGAGAUCACACUGCAGGGGAGGCGUUAGAGGAUCUGUUCAUCUGAAAAGUACAGCAAAAACACAAGUGAGUCUGUUCCUGGACAAUUUGCCUACUGAUUUCCUUCUAAAAAACCGGAUACGUACUUUUAGCAUGCAAAUCCACAGGCAGCUAUCUCUGCAUCUCAAUGAGACAGGCCAGUAAAGAACAAACUCCCCAGCUAAUCACAGUGUUAAAUGACUUCCUCAGAACCAAGUUCACAAUCAAUGAUAAAAAUGGGAGGAAUUUAAAGAGCUGAUUUAAAAAAGAAUCUACACUUAGUCAACGCUUUUUAUCCAGAUGCAUCCCAAAGAGUAUUGCUUGAUUACAACACUGUGUAUGAAAGACUUCGAUAUGGAUGUCCCAGAAAAUCUACUCACUAUUUAAUUACUAUGACAACCCUUUACACACUAUUUCCACAAACCAUUCCUUACUGAGGCCUGGACUUUUGUUGCUUCUGUCACAAUGACACAGGUUUUCACAUGUGCCACAAGCUUCAAAUAUGUGAGAUCUACUGUUAAAAACAAACAAAGCAAGCAUCUUUCAUUUGUCUGCAGAGCUACAGAAAGACAUACUGAUAUUCAGAUCAUGCUGGUUUCGUCUUCCCUCUCAGCUCCUUUUCCCCCCAGCAGUGCCCAAGUCCUCAACUCACAGUACCUCUUGCUCGAGGAGAAGGGUUAACCUUUCAUGCUUUCCUCUUGCUACAGUCCUGCUCACACACAAGCGAACUCUGCAAUGAAAGCCAUUAGCUGCAAAAUCUCAGGACAAGGAAGAAAAACACUCCAAGUGCUUCAUCCUACUCCCCAGGCCUAUUGCUUCUGUUUAAACUUUGGCCCAACCAGAGCUGAGAAAAACUACAUCCCCCAAAGGAGAACCUACUGACCCCAUUUCAGCACUGUGCAAUGCCCCAGUGUUUUAGCUGCUCUUCAUUUUAGCACUGUGCCAGCUGCUAAUCAUGUCCAGGCAGCCUGCUCUUGAAACUGGGAGAAAACCACUCACAGGAGGUACAAAGGAAACCUUACCCACAGUUUGCAUAGCUCUUAAGAAUCAGCAUCAAGUAAUGAGUGGAAUUACAAGGGUCAUGGGAUCACUCCAGAGUGUGAACAAUCAGCUGGAAUGAAUAUCCCAGUGCUGCCUCAGGAUGGACAGAGACUGUUAUAACGAGACCAAGUUUACCUGCAGCAGAGCACAGUGCUUGCUGAGACUGUCACAGAAAAAUGUUAAGCACUAUUUUGGGUUUUAAACAUAUUUUUAUAUGUUUUGUAAUUCAUGUUGAACAUAACCUUCCCAUACAGACCAAAUAUAGCUAAGUCCUUCAGGUUUUUCAGAUAGAAGGCAAAAAGAACAAGCAAGAAAGAAGCAAAGAACUGCCUACAAGUCCAUGUGGUUUGAUACAGUUUCUGAGAUAACAAAAAAGCCAAUUUCUUAACAUUACAAACUCAAUUCUUGUCUCUGAAGCGUGACUACAUUUGUCUAUGGAUGUGUUUUAUAUGUGCACAUUUUAUGAGGAAAGCAGCUGAACUCUGCAGAGUGCAAGAAAA